rnacentral:rRNA from 1 species
CCUACGGGAGGCAGCAGUGGGGAAUAUUGCACAAUGGGGGAAACCCUGAUGCAGCGACGCCGCGUGAGUGAAGAAGUAUUUCGGUACGUAAAGCUCUAUCAGCAGGGAAGAAAAUGACGGUACCUGACUAAGAAGCCCCGGCUAACUACGUGCCAGCAGCCGCGGUAAUACGUAGGGGGCAAGCGUUAUCCGGAUUUACUGGGUGUAAAGGGAGCGUAGACGGCAGCGCAAGUCUGGAGUGAAAUCCCAUGGCUUAACCAUGGAACUGCUUUGGAAACUGUGCAGCUAGAGUGCAGGAGAGGUAAGCGGAAUUCCUAGUGUAGCGGUGAAAUGCGUAGAUAUUAGGAGGAACACCAGUGGCGAAGGCGACUUACUGGACUGUAACUGACGUUGAGGCUCGAAAGCGUGGGGAGCAAACAGGAUUAGAUACCCCUGUAGUC